rnacentral:rRNA from 1 species
UUAAGCGACUAAGCGUACACGGUGGAUGCCCUGGCAGUCAGAGGCGAUGAAGGACGUGCUAAUCUGCGAAAAGCGUCGGUAAGGUGAUAUGAACCGUUAUAACCGGCGAUGUCCGAAUGGGGAAACCCAGUGUGAUUCGUCACACUAUCGUUAACUGAAUACAUAGGUUAACGAGGCGAACCGGGGGAACUGAAACAUCUAAGUACCCCGAGGAAAAGAAAUCAACCGAGAUUCCCCCAGUAGCGGCGAGCGAACGGGGAGCAGCCCAGAGUCUGAAUCAGCUUGUGUGUUAGUGGAACGGUCUGGAAAGUCCGACGGUACAGGGUGAUAGUCCCGUACACCAAAAUGCACAGGUUGUGAACUCGAAGAGUAGGGCGGGACACGUGGUAUCCUGUCUGAAUAUGGGGGGACCAUCCUCCAAGGCUAAAUACUCCUGACUGACCGAUAGUGAACCAGUACCGUGAGGGAAAGGCGAAAAGAACCCCGGCGAGGGGAGUGAAAAAGAACCUGAAACCGUGUACGUACAAGCAGUGGGAGCACCUUCGGGUGUGACUGCGUACCUUUUGUAUAAUGGGUCAGCGACUUAUAUUCUGUAGCAAGGUUAACCGUAUAGGGGAGCCGCAGGGAAACCGAGUCUUAACUGGGCGUUAAGUUGCAGGGUAUAGACCCGAAACCCGGUGAUCUAGCCAUGGGCAGGUUGAAGGUUGGGUAACACUAACUGGAGGACCGAACCGACUAAUGUUGAAAAAUUAGCGGAUGACUUGUGGCUGGGGGUGAAAGGCCAAUCAAACCGGGAGAUAGCUGGUUCUCCCCGAAAGCUAUUUAGGUAGCGCCUCGUGAACUCAUCUUCGGGGGUAGAGCACUGUUUCGGCUAGGGGGUCAUCCCGACUUACCAACCCGAUGCAAACUACGAAUACCGAAGAAUGUUAUCACGGGAGACACACGGCGGGUGCUAACGUCCGUCGUGAAGAGGGAAACAACCCAGACCGCCAGCUAAGGUCCCAAAGUCAUGGUUAAGUGGGAAACGAUGUGGGAAGGCACAGACAGCCAGGAUGUUGGCUUAGAAGCAGCCAUCAUUUAAAGAAAGCGUAAUAGCUCACUGGUCGAGUCGGCCUGCGCGGAAGAUGUAACGGGGCUAAACCAUGCACCGAAGCUGCGGCAGCGACACUAUGUGUUGUUGGGUAGGGGAGCGUUCUGUAAGCCUGCGAAGGUGACCUGUGAGGGUUGCUGGAGGUAUCAGAAGUGCGAAUGCUGACAUAAGUAACGAUAAAGCGGGUGAAAAGCCCGCUCGCCGGAAGACCAAGGGUUCCUGUCCAACGUUAAUCGGGGCAGGGUGAGUCGACCCCUAAGGCGAGGCCGAAAGGCGUAGUCGAUGGGAAACAGGUUAAUAUUCCUGUACUUGGUGUUACUGCGAAGGGGGGACGGAGAAGGCUAUGUUAGCCGGGCGACGGUUGUCCCGGUUUAAGCAUGUAGGCUGAUUGUCCAGGCAAAUCCGGAUAAUCAAGGCUGAGGUGUGAUGACGAGGCACUACGGUGCUGAAGUAACAAAUGCCCUGCUUCCAGGAAAAGCCUCUAAGCAUCAGGUAACAUCAAAUCGUACCCCAAACCGACACAGGUGGUCAGGUAGAGAAUACCAAGGCGCUUGAGAGAACUCGGGUGAAGGAACUAGGCAAAAUGGUGCCGUAACUUCGGGAGAAGGCACGCUGGUGUGUAGGUGAAGUCCCUGCGGAUGGAGCUGAGACCAGUCGAAGAUACCAGCUGGCUGCAACUGUUUAUUAAAAACACAGCACUGUGCAAACACGAAAGUGGACGUAUACGGUGUGACGCCUGCCCGGUGCCGGAAGGUUAAUUGAUGGGGUUAUCCGUAAGGAGAAGCUCUUGAUCGAAGCCCCGGUAAACGGCGGCCGUAACUAUAACGGUCCUAAGGUAGCGAAAUUCCUUGUCGGGUAAGUUCCGACCUGCACGAAUGGCGUAAUGAUGGCCAGGCUGUCUCCACCCGAGACUCAGUGAAAUUGAACUCGCUGUGAAGAUGCAGUGUACCCGCGGCAAGACGGAAAGACCCCGUGAACCUUUACUAUAGCUUGACACUGAACAUUGAGCCUUGAUGUGUAGGAUAGGUGGGAGGCUUUGAAGCGUGGACGCCAGUCUGCGUGGAGCCAACCUUGAAAUACCACCCUUUAAUGUUUGAUGUUCUAACGUUGGCCCCUUACCGGGGUUGCGGACAGUGUCUGGUGGGUAGUUUGACUGGGGCGGUCUCCUCCCAAAGCGUAACGGAGGAGCACGAAGGUUAGCUAAUCCUGGUCGGACAUCAGGAGGUUAGUGCAAUGGCAUAAGCUAGCUUGACUGCGAGCGUGACGGCGCGAGCAGGUGCGAAAGCAGGUCAUAGUGAUCCGGUGGUUCUGAAUGGAAGGGCCAUCGCUCAACGGAUAAAAGGUACUCCGGGGAUAACAGGCUGAUACCGCCCAAGAGUUCAUAUCGACGGCGGUGUUUGGCACCUCGAUGUCGGCUCAUCACAUCCUGGGGCUGAAGUAGGUCCCAAGGGUAUGGCUGUUCGCCAUUUAAAGUGGUACGCGAGCUGGGUUUAGAACGUCGUGAGACAGUUCGGUCCCUAUCUGCCGUGGGCGCUGGAGAAUUGAGGGGGGCUGCUCCUAGUACGAGAGGACCGGAGUGGACGCAUCACUGGUGUUCGGGUUGUCAUGCCAAUGGCACUGCCCGGUAGCUAAAUGCGGAAGAGAUAAGUGCUGAAAGCAUCUAAGCACGAAACUUGCCCCGAGAUGAGUUCUCCCUGAGACUUUAAGUCUCCUGAAGGAACGUUGAAGACGACGACGUUGAUAGGCCGGGUGUGUAAGCGCAGCGAUGCGUUGAGCUAACCGGUACUAAUGAACCGUGAGGCUUAACCU